CGGGUGAGUAACACGUAUCCAACCUGCCGUCUACUCUUGGACAGCCUUCUGAAAGGAAGAUUAAUACAAGAUGGCAUCAUGAGUCUGCAUGUUCACAUGAUUAAAGGUAUUUUCCGGUAGACGAUGGGGAUGCGUUCCAUUAGAUAGUAGGCGGGGUAACGGCCCACCUAGUCAACGAUGGAUAGGGGUUCUGAGAGGAAGGUCCCCCACAUUGGAACUGAGACACGGUCCAA
rnacentral:rRNA from 1 species